UGGAGGGGUUGCUUGGCUUGUAAGAAUAUGAAAUGUAGUUGAACCAGGGAAUUGAAUGUAAUUGAUACGAAAUGUAAAACGACAUAUCGUGAAGUAUUCAUUCCGUAAGGCGGAAAAGUGCUAUGCGGUGGACUCCAAAGGCAAUUUUUUUUAAUGUUAAUGAUACUUAAUUUAUUUUUUUGCUUCAGAUAUAAAGUAUCAAUUCCAUCAAAUGUUAUGGGACUCAUGUUUGCAUCCAAGGCCGAAAAUGGAAAUAUAACGAAACCAAUUUAAACAGAUAUGGCUACCUGAUAUUAUUAGUGACAUGUCAGGUCUUUAUGGUCAAAAAGAAGUCUGAGUGCUUUUUGAAGAAAUUUUGCUGCACCGAGCUCGGAAUUUUCCGGGGUUUAAAUUGUGAUUCCCGAUGGGUUUUCUUAAGAAACCAGUUUACGUUGACGCAGUAAGAGCUGCAAAUUCUAAUGCUAGAGUUCGUACGUUAUGAUUUCGCGAUCGUUUUAUGCCAACUAACCACGAAGAUGUCAUGCAACUGCAUUUUCAUGUGUCAGAAAACUGUGUGCUGAAAGAGAUGCUGCAUUUUCGAAGAAAGCUACUUCCACAUCACCGUUGGUCGCUGCUUCGUCUCCAAGAUAAAAAAUUUACAUUUUUAUAAAUUAAAGUUCAUAUCUGGGCUCCCUUCUUUUCUGUGGCCCUGUUUCCCCUUGACUCGUAAUAAGCCCGUAGGGGGUCA